CGUCACAAUCAGUCACAAUCAGUCACAAUCAGUUGCAGUCAGUCACUUCCAUAUUAUUGGACCUUCUCACAGUCACUCUCAACACCUCAGCCAAUCACCUCUCACACCUGGAAUCCACCCCUGUUCCUUUGUUUGAAGCCCAUCAGCUUCAUUCAGUCACAGACAGUCACUGAACAGCAGGAUCACCCCACAGCACUCAUCUCUGGAAACCAUUCACUUUUUACAAGCCUGGAAACCUGGAAAUCACAGCAUCAAAGAGGACGCCUGCAACUGCCUUUGGAUUUCUGGAUGUCACCCACCUGAACCCACAUUGUGCUGAACAUUGAAUAUUGGUUAGGCUUGAACUGAUGGCGAGCUACCCUGGACCAAACUGGACAACCGUCUGACAUGUUUCACCCCUUCACCCACCCCACUCAUUGGCAGGUCUAAAGCCCCACAGCUUCAUCCCUUCCAGAAUGGUAAAAAGUCUAUCACAGGAGAGACCAACUCUAAGUACGUGGAUGGACAUAACAGUGGACAUUUACAGGAUGGAGACGAUAACAUCACAUGUCAACCAUAAAGUGGAAGGAUACAUACUAAACCAGUUCUGGACCCUGUGUUCUAACGUCCUGUCUGAUGGUCACCUGCAGGGUUCGGGCCUGCUCCAGGGUCGUGUUCCGGUUCAUCCAGGUCCGGUCCAGACCAGCUUUAACCUCCUCCAGCUGCUUCAGAGCUUUCUGGAUCUCUGUCUUUGAGCCGUGACCCGACCGGAUCAGACCCAGACCGAAGUCCUGGACGGAGUCGAUGCGCUCGGCUCGGGCGUCGAUCUCCGUCUGCAAACACAGUAGCAGUUAGUUCCCCGUUCCAUCAGAACAGAACCAGAACCAGGUCUCACCUUCCAGUCCUGGUGCUCCACGAUGAGCCUCUCAGCCUCGGUCCUGGUCUUGGGGACUCCUUUCUCUGAC
ensembl:lncRNA